GAUUUUUUUUCCGAAUGAACUCAGCAGUGGAGAUACGGAUGUUAGUGUCCAUAAGCGGGCUAUUUAGCCUCGGGCUAUUUUGUGGAGGGCUGUUUUGCCCAGGGUUGUUCUGGGUAGGGUUAGUGGCCUGUCCAGGACUGGUCAGUAUAAGGACAAUAAAGAGAGGGUUGAAAUGGUUAAGUUUAGGUACUGGUAGGGGUCGUGUGUCAGGGGGUGAAGCUGUCCAGGCAGUUGUGACGGGUAGGUGUUAGGUUUGUGGAUGGGUCAGUCAUCGAGGUUUUGACCACACAAGUCAAAGGAUGGAGACUCAGGAUUCAUUCAGACCCCUGGGAAAACGCGUGUCCAAGCGUUUGAUCCACUGAGCUU
ensembl:lncRNA